rnacentral:rRNA from 1 species
AUUGAACGCUGGCGGCAGGCCUAACACAUGCAAGUCGAGCGAGCGGCGGACGGGUGAGUAAUGUCUGGGAAACUGCCCGAUGGAGGGGGAUAACUACUGGAAACGGUAGCUAAUACCGCAUACCAUCAGAUGUGCCCAGAUGGGAUUAGCUUGUAGGUGGGGUAACGGCUCACCUGGGCGACGAUCCCUAGCCGGUCUGAGAGGAUGACCAGGCACACUGGAACCGGUGCACGGGCCAGACGCCUACGGGCGGCAGCAGGGGGGAAGAUUGCACAAUGGGCGAAAGCCUGAUGCAGCCAUGCCGCGUGGGUGAAGGAGGCCUUCGGGUUGUAAAGCACUUUCAGCGGGGAGGCGUUACCCGCAGAAGAAGCACCGGCUAACUCCGUGCCAGCAGCCGCGGUAAUUC